rnacentral:rRNA from 1 species
AAGAAGCAAGACCGUGAGGUGGAGCAAAACUCAAAAACUUGUCUCAGUUCGGAUUGUAGGCUGAAACUCGCCUACAUGAAGCUGGAGUUGCUAGUAAUCGCGAAUCAGCAUGUCGCGGUGAAUACGUUCCCGGGCCUUGUACACACCGCCCGUCACACCAUGAGAGUUGGCAAUACCCAACGUACGUGAUCUAACCCGCAAGGGACGGAAGCGUCCUAAGGUAGGGUCAGCGAUUGGGGUGAAGUCGUAACAAGGUAUC